AAAAAAAAAAAGAAAUCACCACUCUCUGGUCAUAUGGCCUAAUUAUAUUUAUUAAAAAGUCUUUGAUCGGAGUUUGCUAUUGGCAUUUAACUCUAUGAAAAAUCUGAAACAUAAAUAAGAAAAGAGCUACUUCUCAUGCCACUUACAAUGACGUAUUUAUACUAAAAAUAAAUGUGAAUAAUAUGCAUAUUUUACAUAUAUGUAGAAAUGUAUUUAGUAUAAAUACAUUAAAUAAUGACUGAUUUUUAACAAAAUUAAUAAAUUGAAAGAAAAUGCUUAAUGUUAUUGGAAAGAUUUGAGUAUAAACUUCAGACUUAGGAACUGAGGAGACGGCUUAGUGGUUAAAGAACUUGUGCACACAUGAGAUUCUGAGCUCAAAUCUCCAGCACUGAUUUAAAAACAAAACAACAACAACAAAAAACAAACAAGCAUAGAAGCAUACACCUGAGGGGAUGAGACAGACAGACCCCUGGAGUCUAGCUAAGCAGUCUAGCUGAAAGAGUUCCAGGUUCAGUAAGAGACCUUGUCUCAAAGAGAAAAAAAAGCAGUUGAUGAAGCUAUCCUGCUUCAACCACUGGUCUCUGCAUGAACCCACCAGUAUGUACACACAGAGUUUGUCCUGAGGAGGUGGCCCGGUCAGUAAAAGCACUUGCCUGGCAAGCAUGAGGACCUGAGUUUGGAUCCUCAGAACCCAUGUAAAAAGCAAGGUAGAAUGGUGUACUUCCGUAAUCCCAGCAGUGACAUGGGAUGCAGAGACAGGUGGAUCCUUGGAAGCUACUGGGCCAGCUAGCCUGGCCAACAUGGCAAAUUUCUGGCCAGUGGGAAACCCUGUGUCAAAACAAAGUCAAAGGCACCUGAGAACGGACAUCUGAGGUGGUUCUCUCUCACACACACACACACACACACACACACACACACACACACACACACAAUAUUCUGCACCUACAAGAAUGCCCACAUACACAGAUGUGCACACAAAAAGUACAAAAUUCAAAGAUUUUUUUUGAGACAGUCUUACUAUGCACGUAUCCUGACUUUCCUGGAUCUCUUUGUAGAUCAGGUUUGCCUCAAACUCGUAGAAAUCCGACUACUUCUGCCACUUGAGUGCUGAGAUUAAAGGCGUGCACCACCACAUCCAGCUUUCAGAGAUGAUUUAUUAACUACUUAACACAAGUUACUUUAUGCCUGGCUUCUUAUAUUUUAAUAAGGAAAUAAAUACCUAUCACAAACAAAUUUGCAUUUUAUUUUUUAAAUAGAAAUAAAGCUAAGAAACAAAUUUAAGGAGCAAGUCUUUCUGCUUUCAAGAUUUCAGUGAAGAACUUUCAUUGAAAGCAGUUUCAGCUUUCACAUGCUCCUAAAAGAUUUGAAAUCUUAGCAUUCUGGAAUGUCCACAGUACCUUUUCUGUCUUCAUUUUGGCCCUCUAAGUGGAUUUUAAGAUUAUCAUUAAAGGUCGUGGGGCCUAGUCCAAUCUGAUGCUUAAGUUUUACUAAACAAAGCAGCUGUCUUCAAAGUACUAACUAUAAGCUUAUAUUCAUAACAAUAUUCUAAAUUAUCUUUUUUAAAAUAUUGACCUGGAUUUCUUUUUAGUGUGCUGGUUUAUAUUUGGGUCAGGGCAGUAUAUAUUGCAUAUACAUAUUAUAUGCAUGCAGUAUAUAUUGCAUACAUAUAUUAUAUGUAUUUCUAACUCUAUAUAAUCUAGGAUUUCUAAAACUUGUUGCAUCCUUUCUAAGUUGUCACAUGGUUUAUAAAAACAGAUCCUUUAGAGAUGAAAAGUUGAUCUAGUCACCAUUUUCAAGAAUAGGCAUUUUUUUCCUCCUCUGUGUAUUAAGUUCUUAGAAUUCAGAGACAUGACAAACAGGAGAGUGACCAGAAGAGAGGGCCUCACACAGAAUUCCAGAA